rnacentral:lncRNA from 1 species
CCCUUCCUUCAGCCCAAUAAUAAAAAGACUGCUAAUAAACGUAAAUAAAAACUGAGCCCAACUACUACUUAAAACCACCGGCCCAAUAGUGACAUAAAAUUAUAAUAAUAGCCCAAUUGCUAAUUUCCCUUAACGACGUCGUUUCCCUCCUCAGCCUCUGCCAACAUCGUGUUCCCAAUUCCUUCAGAUCCAAAAAUCCAAUCUUUACCACUUCUAGGUUUCCUCCUCCCUUUUCCACCCCAAUCAACCAAUUCUGCCUCAUUUUCCGGCAAUUUGGCCUCAACCCUCGAACUGCGUUUCUUCUUCGUCCCCCAACUCUUCAAUUUCUCACCAUACUUGGCCAUUAAAGGUUCCCAGGAUGUGACAUUACCCCCUUCUGAAGCUGAUCCUUGUCCCCAAGGAUCGAAAGUAGGGUACUUGGCCAAGAAAUCCUCGAAGCUUUCCCACGUAUCUUCCUCUGGCGGUGCUCCGGUCCACUGAACUUGGAUCUGUGGUAAGUCUUUCCCCAGAAGAUGGAGAACCCUGGUGCCGAAAAUUCGAUAAGGAAGAGUCUGAAGAUGCCCCUCAGCGUCAAGGUUUGGGAGAUUUGGGUUGCUCGUAGUGGUGGGGCUAAUCUGCCGUUUGAGUAGAGAUACAUGGAAGACAUCAUGGAUCUUCGAGCCUUCGGGUAGGGAUAAGCGAUAUGCAACCUUGCCGAUUCUCUCAACAAUUGGAAACGGCCCAUAGUAGCGGUUGGAGAGCUUCAAAUUGCGGCGGAGGGCUACCGAGUUCUGCCGAAAAGGCUGCAGUUUCAGGUAAACAAAAUCUCCUACUUGGAACUCUCUGUCUGUCCUUUUCAAGUCAGCAUACCAUUUCAUGCGACUUUGGGCCUGUUGUAAAUUCUCCUUAAGCAAUUCCACUGCACGUAGUCUGUCUUCGAUGAAUCAGCCACCUCUGGGUUAGCUAUGUCUAGAUAGGGUCCUAGAGAUAGGUGAUUAGGACUGUAACCAUAGAGGGCUUGAAAAGGGGUCACUUUGAGACUGGUAUGGUAGUUAGUAUUAUACCAGUACUCUGCUAGGGAUAACCACUUGAGCCAUCUGUGUGGGUGUUGGCUAGUACAACACCUCAAGUAGUUUUCAAGACACUGAUUUAAACGUUCUGUUUGCCCAUCACUCUGAGGAUGAUAGGAUGAUGUCAUAUGAAGCUUGGUCCCCAGUAAUUUGAAUAGUUCCUGCAAAAAAUUGCUUGUAAAAACUUUGUCUCUAUCAGUAACAAUACUUAUAGGUUGACCAUGCAAUUUGAAAAUAUGGUCAAGAAAAAGUCUAGCCACAGUCAGGGCCGAGUAAGGGUGUGACAAGGCUAAGAAAUGGCCAUAUUUGGUCAACCUGUCAAUGACUACCAAAAUCACACUCUUCCCUUCUGAUUUUGGUAGUCCCUCAAUGAAAUCCAUUGAGAUAUGAGUCCAUGCCCCCUGUGGGAUCUCCAAUGGCUCCAACAGUCCUGGGUAGGGACUGUUGUUGUGUUUAGCUUUUUGGCAAACUUCACACUGUUGCACCAACCUUGUCACAUCCAUUUUCAUUCUAGACCAAUAAAAAUAGCCCUUAACCCUUUGAUAAGUACCUUGUAUCCCAGAAUGUCCUCCAAUGGCUGUGGAAUGGAGAUUCUCCAUAAUUUUGUGUCUCAGUUCCUUAUCUCCACCAACACACAUCCUCCCCUUGUACCUUAGAAUCCCUUGCACCACUGAAUACUCUCCAUAUGCCUUGUCAUCAAUAGACUUGGCCCCAAGUAUCUUGGUGAUCUCAGAAUCCUUGGUGUAACUCUCAAUGACCUCAGUCAUCCAUUUAGGUUGGAGGGUGGAAAUAGCAUUCAGCUCUGUCUGGCCCCCUUCCUGCCUUGAGAGUGCAUCUGCUACUCUGUUUUCAAUACCCUUCUUAUAUUGUAUUUCAUAAUCCAACCCAAUCAAUUUUGAGAUCCAUCUCUGUUGUAAGGCAGUAGUAACUUUUUGCUCCAUAAUGUACUUGAUACUUUGCUGGUCAGUUCUCAAUAUGAAAUGAUGCCCUUGCAAAUAGUGCUUCCACUUUGCUACUGCCAGCAGAACAGCCAUGAACUCCCUCUCAUAGAUGGACAGGUUAUGAUUUCUAGGACUUAGAGCCCUGCUAAGAAAAGCAAUAGGCCUAGAAUCUUGCAUUAGAACUGCCCAUAACCCUGUGGAACUAGCAUCAGUCUUCACAAUGAAGGGUCUGCUGAAAUCAGGUAAAGCCAGAACUGGAGAAGUACUCAUUGCUUCCUUCAGUUUCUGGAAAGCUGCUACUGAUUCAGUGUCCCAAUGAAAUCCCCCUUUCCUCAACAUGUUUGUUAAAGGUUUGCUAAUCACCCCAUAACCUUUAAUAAACUUUCUGUAAUAACCAGUAAGGCCUUAAAAUCCCCUUAAGCCUUUAACAGUAGAAGGUUGAGGCCAUUCUAACAUGCAUUGAAUCUUGCUUGGGUCAGUUGAUACUCCCUUGUCACUGAUAAUAUGACCCAAGUAUUCAAUACUUGUUUGCCCAAACUGGCAUUUUGACAUCUUUGCAUAAAGCCUGUGUGUCUUCAGAAUAGUAAAGAUUAUCUGCAAAUGUUCCAAAUGCUCAGUGAAGGUAGGGCUGUAGACUAAGAUGUCAUCAAAAAAUACCAAUACAAAUUUUCUCAGAUGGCCAGUGAACACUUGGUUCAUUAGUGAUUGGAAGGUAGCUGGGGCAUUACAUAGCCCAAAAGGCAUUACCAAGAACUCAAAAUGACCAUGGUGAGUCUUGAAAGCUGUCUUAUACACAUCCUCUUCCUUCAUCCUUAUCUGAAAAUACCCAGAUCUCAAAUCCAUCUUUGUAAACCAUUUUGCACCAUUCAGCUCAUCCAAUAACUCAUCUAUCACAGGAAUAGGGUAGUCAUGUUUGACAGUCAUAGUAUUUAAGUACAUGUAAUCAACACACAUCCUCCAAGUCAUGUCCUUUUUUUUAACUAACAAAACUGGGGAAGCAAAAGGACUCUAACUAUGUCUUAUUGUCCCAUUUUUUAACAGCUCAUCUACUAUGCUUUUUAUUUCAUUCUUUGAUGAGUGUGAGUAUCUGUAGGGGCAUAAUUGCUUAGGAACAGCAUCAGGUUUGAGAAUAAUCUGGUGUUCUGUUCCUCUGAUAGGAGGUAAUCCUUGUGGCUCCAGGAAUAAUUCCUCAAAUUGCUGCAGUAAUGUUGCUACCUCAGUAGGGACUGACAGCUGUAAAUUGGGGGUGUGAGGACCAAUUUUCUCCAUGGGUGUUAUUGAUAACAGCUGGUUCCCAUUACCUUCCUCAUGUGCAGUGAUCAGCAAUUUCUGUUCCCCCCUCCUAAUUUUAAUGAACCUUCUCUUGUAGUCAAACUUCACUGGACUGUUUUCCCACAGCCAGUCACAUCCUAGAAUGAUGUGAUAGCCUCCCAGUUUCAGCAACCUCAGAGGAAAAGAGAAAGGCUCUCCUUGAAUCCACCAUUUAAGCCCUUCUACCACCUGCCUGCUCAUCAUUUUUCCCCCAUCUGCCACUGUCACUAGCAUGGGUUUGGCUGUUGUUGUAACACAAUUAAUUUGUUGUGCUAAUUGCUCACAGAUAAAACUGUGAGUGCUUCCUGUGUCAAUAAGAAUCUUGAUAGGCCCAUUUUCUAACUCUCCUUGCACCUUAAUUGCUCUUGCUCCACUCUGCCCUGCACUAGCAUUCAAAGACACCUCAACCCCCUCUAUUUGUCCUUCAUUCUCAAAUUGUUCCAUGCUGCUCAUGGCCAACAAAUGAGCAUCCUCCUCUGCACUAGUCAUUACCAUGUAUAACUGAGUGUACUUGCACUUGUGACCUGGUUGGUACUGUUCAUCACAAUUAAAACACAACCCCUUCUCCCUCCUAGCCCUCAUCUCUGACAAUGUGAGGUUCUUCCUUGGAGGAUGAUUAGUUUGAGUAGGGUUUGGUUUGGCUAAGGCAGUUUGUGUGUUUGGGUGAGUGUGUAGCAAUGGCUUCUUUGGCUGAAAAGCCUGGGCAGAUAUUGGUUUGGACUGAAACUUUCCUCUUCUGGCAAAAGCUUCUAACAGUGCCUCUUGCUUUCUGGUUUGAUCAAAAGCUUGCUGUAGAUUCUUUGCAACAAAGAGAGAGGAAAACUGUUGAUUGUCCUCAGGUAAGCCACUCUCAAAGCAUGUCAUGAAAAAAUCUUCAUCAUACACCCUAGUAUUAAACAUCAGUAGAUAAGAUUUGAGCUGCUCAAAUCUACUGAUGUAGUCCUCCAAAGAUGUAGUAACCUUCAAUUUCAUCAACUCAGAUAACACCUUAGCCUCUUUCAGCUCUUCAAACCUUGCAGCCACUAACCCCACAAACUGAUCCCAGGUGUAAUCACUGCCCUGCUGCAGCAGAUGGCUAAACCAAACUGCUGCUCUUCCUUCAAAAUUUAGCCCUGCCAAUGUUACUUUCUGCUUCUCAGUGAGGUUAGUAACUAGCUGAAAAUACCCUUGGCAUUUGAAUAACCAUCCUCUAGGAUUUGUUCCAUCAAACCUAGGAAAUUCCAAUCUAGGAUUUGGGUUGAAAUUCCCAGCAAAAGGAUCUGAGUGUCCUACUUGAUCAUUGUUUCUGUUAGAUCUGGAAUCAUGAAAGGUCCUAGUCAUAUUCUCAUGCUGAAUAUGAGGUGGAAAUGCAGCAUUUCCUGCAGAAGAACCCUCUCCCAUAAUGGAUUUAUCCCUGUGAUACACUUCCAUUCUUUCUGCAAUUUUGGCCAGUUGGAUCUGCAGGUUUUCAAAAGAUUUCUCAGCCCUUAGCUGAUUUUGAUGGAUCUGCUCCUGCAGGUUCAUCUCUACAGCCUGCCUUUUCCCCAUCUCCUCUGGAAUCCUCUGUUCCACCAAUUUCUUUUGUGUUUCCAGCUGAUCCUUUGCUCUAGUGCCUUCUGCCAUGAUGAAUGUCCCUUUGUUGUGUUAAACCUUGCUCUGGUAGCCAAUUGUCAGAUCUGUGAUGUAUUAUAUAAUAAUAAGAUGUAUUGAAUAUAUUAAAAUAUUAAUCUGUUAAUAAGAAAGAAGCUUGGGAAUGAAGAAAGUAGGUGAAGAGCAGAUGAAAUAAAGAAAGAGAAUAAUUUCCAAAUCUCAAUUGCCUUUCCAAUUUAGGGUUCAUAGUACAUUUAUAGUACUAGCAUAUAACAAAAGCAUUCCCUUCCUUCAGCCCAAUAAUAAAAAGACUGCUAAUAAACGUAAAUAAAAACUGAGCCCAACUACUACUUAAAACCACCGGCCCAAUAGUGACAUAAAAUUAUAAUAAUAGCCCAAUUGCUAAUUUCCCUUAACGACGUCGUUUCCCUCCUCAGCCUCUGCCAACAUCGUGUUCCCAAUUCCUUCAGAUCCAAAAAUCCAAUCUUUACCACUUCUAGGUUUCCUCCUCCCUUUUCCACCCCAAUCAACCAAUUCUGCCUCAUUUUCCGGCAAUUUGGCCUCAACCCUCGAACUGCGUUUCUUCUUCGUCCCCCAACUCUUCAAUUUCUCACCAUACUUGGCCAUUAAAGGUUCCCAG